UUAUGUACAUGCCUGCAGUAUAACGUUAAUGCACUAGAUCCCAUUAGAAUUUCGCAGUUAAGCAUGCUUGGGCUAGAGUGGUAUUGGGAUGGGUGAUCGCUCGGGAAGUCAUAGUGUUUUACAUGUC
rnacentral:rRNA from 1 species